GACGUAGGGUGCGAGCGUUGUCCGGAUUUAUUGGGCGUAAAGAGCUCGUAGGCGGCUCGUCGCGUCGACCGUGAAAACCCGCAGCUUAACUGCGGGCUUGCGGUUGAUACGGGCGGGCUAGAGUUCGGUAGGGGAGACUGGAAUUCCCGGUGUAGCGGUGAAAUGCGCAGAUAUCAGGAGGAACACCAAUGGCGAAGGCAGCUCACUGGGACGGUAUUGACGCUGAGACGCGAAAGCGUGGGGAGCAAACAGG
rnacentral:rRNA from 1 species